UACGUAGGGACCGAGCGUUGUCCGGAAUCAUUGGGCGUAAAGAGCGUGUAGGCGGCCACUUAAGUCCUGCGUGAAAUCUUGCGGCUCAACCGCAAGCGGUCGUGGGAAACUGGGUGGCUAGAGUGCGGGAGAGGAGAGUGGAAUUCCCGGUGUAGUGGUGAAAUGCGUAGAGAUCGGGAGGAACACCAGUGGCGAAGGCGGCUCGCUGGGCCGGUCCUGACACUGAGAGACGAAAGCUAGGGGAGCGAAUGGG
rnacentral:rRNA from 1 species